rnacentral:rRNA from 1 species
AAUCAACGCUGGCGGCGUGCCUCAGACAUGCAAGUCGAACGAUUAAAGCUCUCUUCGGAGAGUGCAUAAAGUGGCGCACGGGUGAGUAACACGUAAGUAAUCUACCUUCGAGUGGGGAAUAACGUCCGGAAACGGACGCUAAUACCGCAUAACGCAGCGGCAUCGCAAGAUGACAGUUGUUAAAGAUUUAUCGCUUGAAGAGGAGCUUGCGGCAGAUUAGCUUGUUGGUAAGGUAACGGCUUACCAAGGCUACGAUCUGUAUCCGGUCUAAGAGGACGGUCGGACACACUGACACUGAAUAACGGGUCAGACUCCUACGGGAGGCAGCAGUCGGGAAUUUUGGGCAAUGGGGGAAACCCUGACCCAGCAACGCCGCGUGAAGGAUGAAGUAUUUCGGUAUGUAAACUUCGAAAGAAUAGGAAGAAUUAAUGACGGUACUAUUUAUAAGGUCCGGCUAACUACGUGCCAGCCGCCGCCGUAAU